rnacentral:rRNA from 1 species
GCCUUCGGGUUGUAAAGCACUUUUGUCCGGAAAGAAAUCCUUGGCUCUAAUACAGUCGGGGGAUGACGGUACCGGAAGAAUAAGCACCGGCUAACUACGUGCCAGCAGCCGCGGUAAUACGUAGGGUGCAAGCGUUAAUCGGAAUUACUGGGCGUAAAGCGUGCGCAGGCGGUUUGCUAAGACCGAUGUGAAAUCCCCGGGCUCAACCUGGGAACUGCAUUGGUGACUGGCAGGCUAGAGUAUGGCAGAGGGGGGUAGAAUUCCACGUGUAGCAGUGAAAUGCGUAGAGAUGUGGAGGAAUACCGAUGGCGAAGGCAGCCCCCUGGGCCAAUACUGACGCUCAUGCACGAAAGCGUGGGGAGCAAACAGGAUUAGAUACCCUGGUAGUCCACGCCCUAAACGAUGUCAACUAGUUGUUGGGGAUUCAUUUCCUUAGUAACGUAGCUAACGCGUGAAGUUGACCGCCUGGGGAGUACGGUCGCAAGAUUAAAACUCAAAGGAAUUGACGGGGACCCGCACAAGCGGUGGAUGAUGUGGAUUAAUUCGAUGCAACGCGAAAAACCUUACCUACCCUUGACAUGGUCGGAAUCCUGCUGAGAGGCGGGAGUGCUCGAAAGAGAACCGGCGCACAGGUGCUGCAUGGCUGUCG